rfam:Astyanax mexicanus chromosome 13, whole genome shotgun sequence.
GCUUACGGCCAUACCACCCUGAGAACGCCCGAUCUCGUCUGAUCUCGGAAGCUAAGCAGGGUCGGUAUGGAGUCAAAUUGGGGUCUUUAAUGCUGAUGAGAA